GAUGAACGCUGGCGGCGUGCUUAACACAUGCAAGUCGAGCGAAGCACUUAAGUCUGAUUCUUCGGAUGAAGACUUUUGUGACUGAGCGGCGGACGGGUGAGUAGUGCGUGGGUAACCUGCCUCAUACAGGGGGAUAACAGUUAGAAAUGACUGCUAAUACCGCAUAAGACCACGGUGCCGCAUGGUACAGUGGUAAAAACUCCGGUGGUAUGAGAUGGACCCGCGUCUGAUUAGGUAGUUGGUGGGGUAACGGCCUACCAAGCCGACGAUCAGUAGCCGACCUGAGAGGGUGACCGGCCACAUUGGGACUGAGACACGGCCCAGACUCCUACGGGAGGCGGCAGUGGGGAAUAUUGCACAAUGGAGGAAACUCUGAUGCAGCGACGCCGCGUGAAGGAUGAAGUAUUUCGGUAUGUAAACUUCUAUCAGCAGGGAAGAAAAUGACGGUACCUGACUAAGAAGCCCCGGCUAACUACGUGCCAGCAGCCGCCGUAA
rnacentral:rRNA from 1 species